rnacentral:rRNA from 1 species
AUGCAUAAGCUCGUAAACGUUCAUUAUUUGGACAAGUCGACAUUUAUGCUUGGAAAUGACGAUGAAGGGGAAGAGGCUAUGGUUUUUGACACAAGUCCAAGCUUUGAUGAUCUUGUAGUUCAAGUGAGAAGCGUCUUACAUUGGAAUGACCCAAAUGCCGAGGUUAAGCUUAUUGGGAGGUAUGACGUUGGAUUGGGAGUAAAGUCCCGAUUAAAGAGUAUGCCCAUCACCUCCCAAUUGCAUUGGAAUGUGUAUAAGGAAAAAGUAGACGCGUCACAAGACAAGUCUCUUGAGAUCUUUGCCACAAAGGUUGAUCCUCCUCCUCCUUUGCAAAUUGAUCUCAACCGCAAUGCAUCCUCCCCCAUGCAUGAUGACAGUGCCGAGGUGUAUGUCCCCAAUUCUUCUAGCCAACCACCAAGUAGCCAACCCAAUGAAGAUCAUAUCAACGCUAGCGCCAUAGUACUCCGUCAUGAUGCUAUUCCUCAUGUUGAAGAAGAUGCUAUUCCUCAUGUUGAUGAUGAUGCUAUUGUUGCUCUAGAGGAGGAUGUUUACUCGGAGAAUGAAGAGAUCCAUUACAAUCCAAUUGGUAACUUGGAUGUCAUUGUGCGGCAACAAGACAUGGACCGUACCCUCCCUUAUAACCGUAUGUAUGGGUAUAACUCGGAUGACGAGGGUCCGGAGGAAGAGUUGGAUGAGGAUGGGUUGAGUGCGCAAGAAAACGAAAUCUACAAGAUCCCGCACUCAUGGUGCCUAUGA